CAAGGCUGAAACUCAUCUCGUCCUCCAGGCUUUCCUUGAACAAACUCUUUCCACUCCCCACAAAGACAGACCAGGUAGAGUGGGUGGAGCAUAUGAUGACCAAAACAAGUACAGCUUCAAGCCCCAGUCCAAGUCUAAGUUAAACGAUGGACAUAACUAUCAGACUGAAGAUGAAGAUAAGAAUAGUGCUGGGAUCAGAGACUUCAUAAAACACCUGCCUCAUCGGAACACAAUCUUUCGUUCUAAAGACCCUAAAGGCUCACUGACCAAGAUCAGCAAGACUAAACACUCUCAAAGAGAGGAUACCCUGUCCCCAUCUUCAUCAUCAGACGAAGACGACAGUGAGAAGAAAUGGAGGCGACAUCAAAUCUCUAUAAGAAAAAAGCUCAAUUUGUUCUUCAAAAAGAAGGUAAAAGAGAAGAAGGAGAGGGACAAAGAGCAGAGACCAGAUGAAGGUGGCCCUCAUCCUCAGAGGCCCACUGAUCUGCCGACUGCUAAAGAACCA